rnacentral:rRNA from 1 species
UUGGAGGGCAAGUCUGGUGCCAGCAGCCGCGGUAAUUCCAGCUCCAAUAGCGUAUAUUAAAGUUGUUGCAGUUAAAAAGCUCGUAGUUGAAUUUCGGGGUUCUACCGUUGGUCGGGCUUUGUCUGUACUGGUGUGUAGAAUUUCUACCUUCUGGGGAACCAUCAUGCUAUUAAUUUAGCGUGGUGGGAAACCAGGACCUUUACCUUGAAAAAAUUAGUGUGUUCAAAGCAGGCUUAUGUCUGAAUACAUUAGCGUGGAAUAAUAGAAUAGGACGGUGGUCCUGUUUUGUUGGUUUCUGAAUCACCGUAAUGAUUAAUAGGGAUAGUUGGGGGCAUUAGUAUUCAAUUGUCAGAGGUGAAAUUCUUGGAUUUAUUGAAGACUAACUUCUGCGAAAGCAUUUGCCAAGGAUGUUUUCAUUAAUCAAGAACGAAAGUUAGGGGAUCGAAGACGAUCAGAUGCCGUCGUAGUCUUAACCAUAAACUAUGCCGACUAGGAAUCGGACGAUGUUAAUUUUUCUUGACUCGUUCGGCGCCUUACGGGAAAC